GCAGUAGUAGCUCAGUGUCAGAGCGCCG
rnacentral:tRNA from 1 species